CCUUCGAUAGCUCAGCUGGUACAGCGGAGGACUGUAGACUGCAGAGACGUUUGUGGACAUCCUUAGGUCGCUGGUUCGAUUCCAGCUCGAAGGA
rfam:Nomascus leucogenys chromosome 22a, whole genome shotgun sequence.